rnacentral:rRNA from 1 species
UCAGGUCAGCGGCGGACGGGUGAGUAACACGUGGGUAACCUGCCUAUAAGAUUGGGAUAACUCCGGGAAACCGGGGCUAAUACCGGAUAACAUCAAGAGCUGCAUGGUUUCUGGUUGAAAGGCGGCUUCGGCUGUCACUUCUAGAUGGACCCGCGGCGCAUUAGCUAGUUGGUGGGGUAACGGCUCACCAAGGCGACGAUGCGUAGCCGACCUGAGAGGGUGAUCGGCCACACUGGGACUGAGACACGGCCCAGACUCCUACGGGAGGCAGCAGUAGGGAAUCUUCCGCAAUGGACGAAAGUCUGACGGAGCAACGCCGCGUGAGUGAAGAAGGUUUUCGGAUCGUAAAACUCUGUUGUCAGGGAAGAACAAGUAUCGGAGUAACUGCCGGUACCUUGACGGUACCUGACCAGAAAGCCACGGCUAACUACGUGCCAGCAGCCGCGGUAAUACGUAGGUGGCAAGCGUUGUCCGGAAUUAUUGGGCGUAAAGCGCGCGCAGGCGGCCUUUUAAGUCUGAUGUGAAAGCCCCCGGCUCAACCGGGGAGGGUCAUUGGAAACUGGAAGGCUUGAGUGCAGAAGAGAAGAGCGGAAUUCCACGUGUAGCGGUGAAAUGCGUAGAGAUGUGGAGGAACACCAGUGGCGAAGGCGGCUCUUUGGUCUGUAACUGACGCUGAGGCGCGAAAGCGUGGGGAGCGAACAGGAUUAGAUACCCUGGUAGUCCACGCCGUAAACGAUGAGUGCUAAGUGUUGGGGGGUUUCCGCCCCUCAGUGCUGCAGCUAACGCAUAAGCACUCC